rnacentral:rRNA from 1 species
GAACCGAAAGUGCUGUUAAGGGGUUUAACUUCCGGCUCAUGUAGACCCCGCAAAGGGUGUUGGUUCAUAUAAACAGCAGGGCGGUGGCCAUGGACGACAGAAUACGCCCAGGG